rnacentral:lncRNA from 1 species
CUUGGCUUUUUAAACAAAUCUUUAUUUCCCCUGGUUACAAAAACAAUGUGCUCACUUUAGAUAAUUUGAGAAAGGCAAGGAAGAAGAGAAGAAACAUCAUUUUUAAUUCCACUUCAGACAUAGCCCUUCCUAACACUUUAAUGCUUUAAUGUAUUUUUUCAAGUAUGUUUUGCUGAAUAUGCCUGUAUAUAUUUACAUGUAUACAUAUAUAAUCCAGAAAUAUAUGUGGGUAUACACAGACAUGCACACACGUAUAAUUCAAAACAUCAUGAAACCUUACAUUCUGGUUUAGCGAUCUCAUGUUUCUCACAAACAAUUAUCUCUACUUAUUUGUAAAUUUACUUAUUUGUGGAGAGAUUAGAUCCUUCACAACAUCCAAUGUGUAUUAAAACCCAUAUUCUAGAACAGAUGUCCAGAGACUAUUAAAUAAAAAUUCAUUUUUCAUUCCAAGUUGCAAGAUUUAAUAAGAUCAGCAGAUCUACACACAGAAACCUCGACUAACUACGUGAGUCUAGUAUGUUUAUCUCCACAAGACUGUGGCCUCUCACUGUCAUUUACGCACAUUUCCUGCAAUUCUGACAUCCUGAGUUUGCUAGAAGGAUGAGAAUCUGUAUAGGAGGACAUCUCAAACUCUAGUUUCCACCACCGAGGUAACCUCCUGUUUAGAUACCCCACAUUCACAUUCUAGGCAUCAGGUUCUAGAAUAGCUGUAAUAUUACUUAGCAACUAUAUGCAGCAAUAACACGACUGACUACAAAACAAUCUGAUGAAAAACCUAAUCACUAAUUAGUCAAUAAUUGAACAAGAACAUUCCGCUAAUGGUGAUGCCCUGAAGCUCACUGUUUCCCUCAUCAUGAAUUAUUGAAGUCAUGUGGCCUGAAAAAGUGCACACUGGAUGGACUUGUUGAUUCACUGCUAAAAGAGUCAAAAAGCUAAGGUGCCAAUCAGAGAAAUUAUUUCCCAAGGGCACUUAUAUACAGAUCCUUCCAAAAUAUUUCAGGAACUGGGGCUUUCCAGCAGGAGUGAUGCAGGAGUACGGAAUCAGAUGCCCACAAAGUGCAGAGACAUGUUUCUGAGUGUUACCGGGAGCCAGCCAGGCAGAGCUGCAGUGUGGGAGCCCGGCCUCAGAACGGGACACCCCACCAUCGAUCAGGAGACUGGCUUCUGCCCAUCUGCUCUUUAAGCCUGUGUCUCAGAUGGUGUGAAAUAGGGAUCACCCUGAGAGAAAGCUGUCACUGCAAGAUUCCGGGAUACACUGCCUUCAUUUUUAUAAAUGCAUGCAAUUAGCUAUGACUUUUAAAUUGGCACCAUGGUGAACAAGCAUGUCUCAAGCAUACAUGCCAAGUAUUACAAGCCGUUUUUCAAUGGCUUCAACUUCCUCAGCUCCAAAACCUUGGAUCUCACUCCAACUCAGCAUCUACUAUUAUGUUCUGUGUCUCCAUUAUAUUAGAUUUGCAGGAGGUUAACGAGAAGCACAGCACAUAAUUCACAUGAAUAGGCUUUGAAACCUAAGUGUGAUGAAAAGUAUUAUUAUUACUGUUAUGCAAAGUCCUUGCAGCAAAAAUUACAUUAUCCUUUUUCCAAAUAUAUUGUGAACCUAUUGCUGCGCUAGAAUUCAGAUCUAGGCUUUCUUAAAACUCCAUUUGUGAUGCUUGCACUUACUUCAUAAACUUCCUUGGGUAUGAAAACACUUAAGUUUUCUUUUCUCCCCAAUGCCCCAGGCAGUUGACAGGUGGAUAAUGACAUCAACAGGCAGGUGGCCAUCAAAGACUCAGGGUAGGUGUGUUUUUGUGAGACCCCAGGUGGUUGAUUUCUGUAUGAUACCUCUCCAUAAAUGUGAAUUUCCUAUUCUUUAUUUCUUAAUCUUAAUAAAUCACUAUUUAAAUAACAAAACUUAACAUUCAAUCGUUAUUUUAAAGAUGACUUUUUAAAAUAACUCAAAGAGACAAAGGCAAAAAUUCCAACUAAUUUGCGUCUUUUCCCCAUUUUUCUGCCAUAUGUACAACUUCCAGUUCAAGGCUCACUUUCCUCUGGCAUUUGUUGCAUCUGUUUGAGCUUCCCAAUAGCAUCUCUCACGAUCAGCUCAACUCCGAUUCGGCGGCUAUAGAAUGGUCAAGGGCUGUACAUGGCUUUAGCUAUUCACCUGGAAGGUCUUUGGUGACUGGGUGUUGAUUUGCACCUCCACAGACGUGUGGUAGGAGAGACGCAAGGAAGAAACUGACAAGGGGAUCCCGCUGGAGCAGUCCUCCGCUGUCCAGUUAAGAAGUGGUCAUUUCCACUCCGUUCUUAUGAGUUCCCACCACCUGUUAGUUCCUUAACGUUGCUAGGUAGCCCUAGGGGGCAGCCGGAUUUGUGUAUUAAGCUCAUUUAUUUGUGCCUUUACUGUCGGCAACAACCUGAACCCACAAACUACUUCACAAAGAAAAGUCUGAGCAAAAUGUAGACAACUCUUAGGACAGGUCUUUGCCAUCAUUUGAUCACACCGUCUAUCAACCGAUGCUAAUCUUCAAGUGUCACCUGGUCUUCCAGGGCAGGUUCCGGUAACGCAGUACAGCUUUGGCAUAACUUCAGAACAAGAAAUCCCAGUGGAUCGUAGCUAUCUACUUAUAAAUUAUAAUUUUCCCCUAUGUAGAAGAAAAUAUUCAAGACCUAUAUAAUUCACAUACUUAGAAAAGAA